GUGGGGUAUAUUGGACAAUGGGCGCAAGCCUGAUCCAGCCAUGCCGCGUGGGUGAAGAAGGCCUUCGGGUUGUAAAGCCCUUUUGUNUGGGAAGAAGGGCAGUNNAUUAAUACUNNGNUGUUUUGACGGUACCNACAGAAUAAGCACCGGCUAACUUCGUGCCAGCAGCCGCGGUAAUACGNAGGGUGCAAGCGUUAAUCGGAAUUACUGGGCGUAAAGCGUGCGUAGGUGGUUGUUUAAGUCGGUUGUGAAAUCCCCGGGCUCAACCUGGGAACUGCAGUNGAUACUGGCNGGCUAGAGUUUGGUAGAGGGUGGUUGGAAUUCCCGGUGUAGCGGUGAAAUGCGNAGAUAU
rnacentral:rRNA from 1 species